rnacentral:rRNA from 1 species
AUGGAGGAUGUUGACGAUGACGACGACACUACUUCCAUUUCAAACGUUCCAGAUCCCUACGAUAUGGUUUAUAGCAAACUCCCAACCAACACACACAAGCUGAAGUCGGUGGAGGACUGCAAACACUGCUAUGCAAAGAAGUUCGAGCGUGAGUCCAUGGGUUUUUGCUGCCGGAAGGGGAAGAUCAAACUGGCCAACCCAAAUACGCCACCCGAGCUCAUGAGGCUAUGGACAAGUGCAGAUUCUGAUUCCAGGCAUUUUCGUGACAAUAUCAGGUUUUUCAACGGCCACUUCUCAUUCACCUCACUAUAUUGUCACCUUGAUAGUGAUACCACCAACAUAUCAAAGCACCCUAUCUAUACAUUUCGUGCC